rnacentral:rRNA from 1 species
UGGGGAAUAUUGGACAAUGGGGGAAACCCUGAUCCAGCAAUGCCGCGUGAGUGAUGAAGGCCUUCGGGUUGUAAAACUCUUUUGGCAGGGAAGAUGAUGACUGUACCUGCAGAAUAAGCCCCGGCUAACUUCGUGCCAGCAGCCGCGGUAAUACGAAGGGGGCUAGCGUUGUUCGGAUUUACUGGGCGUAAAGGGCGCGUAGGCGGUUUCUCAAGUUAGGCGUGAAAGCCCCGGGCUCAACCUGGGAAUAGCGCUUGAUACUGGGAGGCUUGAGUUCGGGAGAGGUGAGUGGAAUUCCCAGUGUAGAGGUGAAAUUCGUAGAUAUUGGGAAGAACACCAGUGGCGAAGGCGGCUCACUGGACCGAAACUGACGCUGAGGCGCGAAAGCGUGGGGAGCAAACAGG